rnacentral:rRNA from 1 species
UUUGGUUAAGUUAGAAAGGGCGCACGGUGGAUGCCUUGACACUAGGAGUCGAUGAAGGACGGGACUAACGCCGAUAUGCUUCGGGGAGCUGUAAGUAAGCUUUGAUCCGAAGAUUUCCGAAUGGGGAAACCCACCAUACGUAAUGGUAUGGUAUCCUUAUCUGAAUACAUAGGGUAAGGAAGACAGACCCAGGGAACUGAAACAUCUAAGUACCUGGAGGAAGAGAAAGCAAAUGCGAUUUCCUGAGUAGCGGCGAGCGAAACGGAACAUAGCCCAAACCAAGAGGCUUGCCUCUUGGGGUUGUAGGACAUUCUAUACGGAGUUACAAAGGAACGAGGUAGACGAAGCGACCUGGAAAGGUCCGUCGUAGAGGGUAACAACCCCGUAGUCGAAACUUCGUUCUCUCUUGAAUGUAUCCUGAGUACGGCGGAACACGUGAAAUUCCGUCGGAAUCUGGGAGGACCAUCUCCCAAGGCUAAAUACUCCCUAGUGAUCGAUAGUGAACCAGUACCGUGAGGGAAAGGUGAAAAGCACCCCGGAAGGGGAGUGAAAGAGAUCCUGAAACCGUGUGCCUACAAAUAGUCAGAGCCCGUUAACGGGUGAUGGCGUGCCUUUUGUAGAAUGAACCGGCGAGUUACGAUCCCGUGCGAGGUUAAGCUGAAGAGGCGGAGCCGCAGCGAAAGCGAGUCUGAAUAGGGCGUUUAGUACGUGGUCGUAGACCCGAAACCAGGUGAUCUACCCAUGUCCAGGGUGAAGUUCAGGUAACACUGAAUGGAGGCCCGAACCCACGCACGUUGAAAAGUGCGGGGAUGAGGUGUGGGUAGCGGAGAAAUUCCAAUCGAACCUGGAGAUAGCUGGUUCUCCCCGAAAUAGCUUUAGGGCUAGCCUUAAGUGUAAGAGUCUUGGAGGUAGAGCACUGAUUGGACUAGGGGUCCUCAUCGGAUUACCGAAUUCAGUCAAACUCCGAAUGCCAAUGACUUAUCCUUAGGAGUCAGACUGCGAGUGAUAAGAUCCGUAGUCAAAAGGGAAACAGCCCAGACCGCCAGCUAAGGUCCCAAAGUGUGUAUUAAGUGGAAAAGGAUGUGGAGUUGCUUAGACAACUAGGAUGUUGGCUUAGAAGCAGCCACCAUUUAAAGAGUGCGUAAUAGCUCACUAGUCGAGUGACUCUGCGCCGAAAAUGUACCGGGGCUAAAUACACCACCGAAGCUGCGGAUUGAUACCAAUGGUAUCAGUGGUAGGGGAGCGUUCUAAGGACAGUGAAGUCAGACCGGAAGGACUGGUGGAGUGCUUAGAAGUGAGAAUGCCGGUAUGAGUAGCGAAAGACGGGUGAGAAUCCCGUCCACCGAAUGCCUAAGGUUUCCUGAGGAAGGCUCGUCCGCUCAGGGUUAGUCAGGACCUAAGCCGAGGCCGACAGGCGUAGGCGAUGGACAACAGGUUGAUAUUCCUGUACCACCUCUUUAUCGUUUGAGCAAUGGAGGGACGCAGAAGGAUAGAAGAAGCGUGCGAUUGGUUGUGCACGUCCAAGCAGUUAGGCUGAUAAGUAGGCAAAUCCGCUUAUCGUGAAGGCUGAGCUGUGAUGGGGAAGCUCCUUAUGGAGCGAAGUCUUUGAUUCCCCGCUGCCAAGAAAAGCUUCUAGCGAGAUAAAAGGUGCCUGUACCGCAAACCGACACAGGUAGGCGAGGAGAGAAUCCUAAGGUGUGCGAGAGAACUCUGGUUAAGGAACUCGGCAAAAUGACCCCGUAACUUCGGGAGAAGGGGUGCUUUCUUAACGGAAAGCCGCAGUGAAUAGGCCCAAGCGACUGUUUAGCAAAAACACAGCUCUCUGCGAAGCCGUAAGGCGAAGUAUAGGGGGUGACACCUGCCCGGUGCUGGAAGGUUAAGGAGAGGGGUUAGCGUAAGCGAAGCUCUGAACUGAAGCCCCAGUAAACGGCGGCCGUAACUAUAACGGUCCUAAGGUAGCGAAAUUCCUUGUCGGGUAAGUUCCGACCCGCACGAAAGGUGUAACGAUUUGGGCACUGUCUCAACCAGAGACUCGGUGAAAUUAUAGUACCUGUGAAGAUGCAGGUUACCCGCGACAGGACGGAAAGACCCCGUGGAGCUUUACUGUAGCCUGAUAUUGAAUUUUGGUACAGUUUGUACAGGAUAGGCGGGAGCCAUUGAAACCGGAGCGCUAGCUUCGGUGGAGGCGCUGGUGGGAUACCGCCCUGACUGUAUUGAAAUUCUAACCUACGGGUCUUAUCGACCCGGGAGACAGUGUCAGGUGGGCAGUUUGACUGGGGCGGUCGCCUCCUAAAGUGUAACGGAGGCGCCCAAAGGUUCCCUCAGAAUGGUUGGAAAUCAUUCGUAGAGUGCAAAGGCAUAAGGGAGCUUGACUGCGAGACCUACAAGUCGAGCAGGGACGAAAGUCGGGCUUAGUGAUCCGGUGGUUCCGCAUGGAAGGGCCAUCGCUCAACGGAUAAAAGCUACCCCGGGGAUAACAGGCUUAUCUCCCCCAAGAGUCCACAUCGACGGGGAGGUUUGGCACCUCGAUGUCGGCUCAUCGCAUCCUGGGGCUGUAGUCGGUCCCAAGGGUUGGGCUGUUCGCCCAUUAAAGCGGUACGCGAGCUGGGUUCAGAACGUCGUGAGACAGUUCGGUCCCUAUCCGUCGUGGGCGUAGGAAAUUUGAGAGGAGCUGUCCUUAGUACGAGAGGACCGGGAUGGACGCACCGCUGGUGUACCAGUUGUUCUGCCAAGGGCAUAGCUGGGUAGCUAUGUGCGGAAGGGAUAAGUGCUGAAAGCAUCUAA